UGUUAGCUUUGCUCUAAAACAACUUUGGAAAUGACAUUGGUGCUGUUCUCUGCGUUACAGUCAUUCAAUAUCUUGCAUAGAGCACAAGGUACAGGAGAGGACAUUAGCGAUUAAAGCUUUCCUUCUGAAUGACCUCUUUCUAUUGUCACCUAUAGAAACCUGUAGAAGCUUGGUAAAACCCAGCUAGCUGAGAGUUGAGGCGUGCCUAGACUGGUAGGCCUCUGUGUAUUGAUGUCAUUGUAAUGACAUCAAUAUUUUGCAACAAGCAUUCAGAUACACACCUUAUAAAAUUAAAUGACGAUGAAAAUAGAAAAAUGAAACUUUUUUUAUGUCUGAAAAUAAAACAAAACAAAAUUAGCAGAAAAACAACCAGAUGAUUCUGCCAUAAAUAGAAACGGUGCAAUAUAUGUAAUAACUAUUUAAGUAACGAGACUUUAAUUACAUUUGUAACCAUCGAUUAUAUUUAAACAUAGUCAUCUUAUAUUACCAGGUGCUGGCGUAAAUAAUUUGGUGAGCAAACUGAAGUUUAAUGAAAUGUCUUUAGCGAAGCUAUGUCGUAAAACUUCUGUUCGUGAGAAUGUUUCUCUCAAGAAUGAGCUGACCUUUUGAACUUUCUCCGGUCGUUGAAGGUCUAACAGAAUUAUGGCACCGAAGAUGCACCAAACGAUGUCAUUUGCAGAGUUGUAUUGUCUUAUAUUGUUCAGAAAAUCCUUUGACUGAAUGGAAAUGCCUUCUAGAAGACCCAUAAGAGGUUGAGAAGGAGCUGGUAGUACUGGCAAUGUUACCUGACCGCCUGAGCAGCACAUACCAUUUGUUUCAUUUGAAAAUUUUAAAGCUCUACAGAAAAGACAAUUUGUGUUUAGUACACCAAUUUGGACAGAGUUAUUAUUUUUAUAAGAAUGGAAUGGAUCAUAUCUGAAAACAGAGUUGUGAAGAACAAAUUUGUACGUAGUCUGUUUCUGAGAGCUAUUCUAUUGGACUUCUGUCUAAUCAUUAAAACAUUUAUUUAAUGAUCCAGCAUUAAGUACUGCAACGUGCAUUUGCUGAUGUUGAGAAAAUCUCAUCUAGCUUCUCUCUUCAGACUCUCGCAUUCGGUUUUCUCCUUGCUUUAUACUUGUUUCUGGAAAAAUUACGUCUUUUCUUUGGUAGCAUAUUUUUCCCAAUAUUGUAAACAAAAAAUUAUGAACAUAGAAAGAAAUUAUACAUUAAUCCAUAUUUUUGUAUGCAGUUGUAUCCGUAAAAAAAUUUAUUUCAAGAGAGCAGAAAUUGAAAGAAGAUAAACUGAAAAGAACAGAGAAAGUGAAAGAUGUAUGUACGUCUAUAUGGAAUGGAUGUGUGUAUGUGUGAGUGUGUACAUGUGUGUGUGGGCGUGUGUGCUUGCGCGUUUGUAAGAGAGAAAGAGAGAUAAAGUGAGUGAGUGAAGGUGUGUCAUGAUGAUUGACGUCUUAAAAUUUUUACAAUAGUUGAUUUAUGGAAAAGGUUAUGUUAAACUUUUGAAAUGCAAAUAUGUGAUUGAAAAUUAAAUUUAAUUUGUAGCUAAAAUAGUACUGAAUCUUUUGAUACCCCAUACGUCAAAAUUUCUAACUCAGUUUUGGAAAGCAUAAGGAAUAUAUAAUAUCAAUGAGGCAGACCUCUACAUAGUAGCUAGAACUGGAAGAAAUAGCAGCUAAAUCUCCCUCAAAAUACCCUACUGUCUUAAUCUGACAAUUCUGCCUAUUAUGUAGUUUGAAUGAGAAACUAACUAAAGAUUAAGAUUAUUAACCCCCACAGAGAGAGAGGAAAGAAGAGAGACAGCAUAGCGACUGUUUUGGUUGACUGUCAUCCUGUACUCCCCUUGUUGCUAGUAAAAUGGUAUAGGCCAGCAAUCUGAGCAACUGGUUGUUUUAAUGGUGGAACAAACAGGACAUUAAAGAUUACAAAAAUAGCGAUUCUCAUUUUGAAACUAACGAUUUUGAAAAUCUUUUUAGAUUACGGAACACCCAGCUCUCUCAUGUAUCCAUGUUUAAUAUUUCAGCGCAAUUGGAUAAA